UUGAGAUGGUUUGGGAUGAGUCGGACCGCAGAGUGAAGAAAAAGCAGCAAAAAAGUGCUCAGCAUAUGUGGGAACUCCUUCAAGACUGUUGGAAAAGCAUUCCAGGAGAAGCUGGUUGAGAGAAUGCCAAGAGUGUGCAAAGCUGUCAUCAAGGCAAAGGACCAUCGUCUGUCCGAGGACCUCAGGAGGUAUCCCAUCCACCAGAACCAGUGAGUUCGGAUCAGUCUGAUUCUCUGUGCUCUGAGUCUCAGGGGGACCAGCUUGAGGACCUGUUAAUGCUGAUCCUGUUCUCCAGGACCUGUUAAUGCUGAUCCUGUUCUCCAGGACCUGUUAAUGCUGAUCCUGUUCUCCAGGACCUGUUAAUGCUGAUCCUGUUCUCCAGGACCUUGGGGUUCUGCCCAACACCCAGAUGUGGAUCCACCUGAUGUCCUCCAUUUCCAACUACCCUCCAACUUUCCAUUACAUCAGCUACAGCUACUGUUAUUGUCAUGUUGUCAUUAUCUGCUAAGAAAGUUCUUGCUCUAUCAUACUGGACACAUAAUAUGUGAGAUACACAAAUGAACUAAAAAUACUAGCACUGCAAAGAGUGCAGCAGUGCCUGGAAUUUUCAGUCUCGCUCUUCAAGUCCCCCUUCCAGAGACUUGCUUCCUGUUGAGAACAAGUGACAGGCAGAACCUCCCACCCACACAGCAACCACCUCUAUAUUCCACACACCAGAAUUCUAUGAUUGCCAUAUGAGUAUACAACAAAAAUCUGUGAAUUUAAAUUAAUGACACAACUGUACCAAAAACUAUCAAAAUGUAUAUAUUCAAAUCUUAAAUAUUGCUAGUUGGGUUUUCACAGCUGUUUCACAAGGUGUUCAUUGUAAGUUGUAAUGUAUAUUUUGAUGGUAUUUAUUUGUUCCACAUUAUUCAUUGUUGCAUCCUAGGACCUACAACAGAUACAUAUAUAUUCAACCAUAAGGGUAAUAAUGAGCUAUGUGAGUGUCACUUACGUUGGAAUGAAUAUCGGACCAAGGCGCAGCGUAUGUUGAGUUCCACAUAAUUUAAUAAAGAAGUGAAACUUUA